GACGUAGGGCGCGAGCGUUGUCCGGAUUUAUUGGGCGUAAAGAGCUCGUAGGCGGUUCGUCGCGUCGGCUGUGAAAUCCCGAGGCUCAACCUCGGGUCUGCAGUCGAUACGGGCGGACUUGAGUACUGCAGGGGAGACUGGAAUUCCUGGUGUAGCGGUGAAAUGCGCAGAUAUCAGGAGGAACACCGGUGGCGAAGGCGGGUCUCUGGGCAGUAACUGACGCUGAGGAGCGAAAGCGUGGGGAGCGAACAGG
rnacentral:rRNA from 1 species